rnacentral:rRNA from 1 species
CCUACGGGUGGCAGCAGUGAGGAAUAUUGGUCAAUGGACGCAAGUCUGAACCAGCCAUGCCGCGUGCAGGAAGACGGCCCUAUGAGUUGUAAACUGCUUUUGUACGAGGGUAAACUCAGAUACGCGUAUCUGUCUGAAAGUAUCGUACGAAUAAGGAUCGGCUAACUCCGUGCCAGCAGCCGCGGUAAUACGGAGGAUUCAAGCGUUAUCCGGAUUUAUUGGGUUUAAAGGGUGCGUAGGCGGGCGGAUAAGUUAGAUGUGAAAUCCCGAGGCUCAACCUCGGAAUUGCAUUUGAUACUGGUCGGCUAGAGAGUAGUUGCGGUAGGCGGAAUGCGUGGUGUAGCGGUGAAAUGCUUAGAUAUCACGCAGAACACCGAUUGCGAAGGCAGCUUACCAAGCUACCUCUGACGUUGAGGCACGAAAGCGUGGGGAUCAAACAGGAUUAGAUACCCCUGUAGUC